AUGGAUUCAGAGGAGGAGUCUGCUUCUGAGGAGGCGGAGGUGGAAUCUGAAGAGGAGUCCGACCCUGGCGUUGCAAGUCUGGCUCUAGCCAUAGCCUAUGUUGCCAAGUCCAUAUUCAACACUGAAGACAAUGACUUCCACACCAACGCUAAUGCUGAUGACAAGGACGAUCCUGCUCCCACCUACUACUUCAUGGCACGUGGUGCCAAGGGUAUGACACCUCAUGCUUCAGAAUGGAUUAUGGACAGCGGAUGCACUAAUCAUAUGACUGGUGAUAGAAGUCUUCUCAUGGACUCAACCUUACGUCCAUCGGACAAGAGUCACAUCACAUUUGCUGACACUGGUAAAAGCAAGGUAUUGGGUCUAGGUAGAGUUGCAAUCUCAAAGGAUCAACACAUGGAUAAAGUGAUGCUUGUUGAAUCCCUUGGGUUCAACUUAAUGUCUAUCUCAAUGCUUUGUGACCUGAACAUGAUUGUGUUAUUUGGAAAAUAUCGUUGCCUUGUACUAAUGGAAUCUGACAAGUCUCUAGUCUUUGAAGGGUAUAGGAAAGAUGAUCUAUACAUGGUAGAGUUCUCAACAGGUCCACAGCUUGUCGUAUGUCUUCUUGCGAGAGCUUCAGAAUGCUGGCUCUGGCAUCGGAGGCUGGGGCAUGCUGGCAUGAGAAACUUACACACACUCGUCAAGAAGAAGCAUGUCAUAGGCAUCGAGGGUGUCAAGUUCAAGAAGGAUCAUCUGUGUGGUGCCUGCGAAGCUGGAAAAAUGACUAGGGCAAAGAACCCCUCGAAGACAAUCAUGACGACAUCUCAACCCUUCGAGCUGUUACACAUGGACUUAUUUGGCCCUACUCACUACUCUACCCUCACAACAACAGUUUCUCUAUGGCUUCGUCAUUGUUGA
rnacentral:rRNA from 1 species